rnacentral:misc_RNA from 1 species
AGUGUUACCGACUCUGUAGCGGUGCUUCUCGGUACGAGACGGUUGAGAUUCUUCGCAUCGAACGAGACUACCCACGUGAUUAGCAUACGCCUCGAGGUGAGGACUUGGAAUCGAGCAGAAGUUUCCUCGGAAGCUGACGCGUUACGCGUGUACAAGGGCGCGAGUCUCGUUCAAGCCCUGUAUGAACGCGAAAGCGGCCAACCCGGGGUUUCGUGUAGAAGAACGACGUGCUCAUGGAGCACCUUCUAGAACAAAUUGUUAGGAGCGCUUCUUUCCGUGUGUAAAGGCGGGCUCUAGGCCCUGGUCCGGCACCUCUCUGGGCUGCUGACUCGCUUAGAGCGAUUGCGUGGGAGUGCGAGUGCAAGCACUCGUCGAAGCAGUCUUCCGAACAGUAGACGAAAGCUGCUUUCGAACAUUAGCCAGAGCCAGCGCUCCAGGAGCGGCUCCCUGCUUGGCAUUUCACGCUGCAGUCUUCUAGCGAUCGGGCUCACUUGGAAACACAGCCAUGGAGCGUCACGUAUCCAAGGAGUCUACUCGAUGAAACGCUUGCAAUGUCGUUCAAUGGAAACACAGCCAUGGAGCGUCACAUAUCCAAGGAGUCUACUCGAUGAAACGCUUGCAAUGUCGUUCAAUGGAAACACAGCCAUGGAGCGUCACGUAUCCAAGGAGUCUACUCGAUGAAACGCUUGCAAUGUCGUUCAAUGGAAACACAGCCAUGGAGCGUCACAUAUCCAAGGAGUCUACUCGAUGAAACGCUUGCAAUGUCGUUUGUUGGAAGAGGGCGUAGCAACACCCGUCGUGCGUAACACCAAUAAAGCAUGCGACAAGUAACAGGGCAGCUGCCUGGAUGCCUGCUCCUCAACCGUAGGCAUGACCAGGACGGAGCUACGCUAUGGGACCCCCGGCAUUGCUCGAUUCCUGCACUUUCAUCUCUAACUGUCUCUGAUAACGCGAUUUCAGACUGUACAGCACAAGGAGAGGAACUUGAUCUCAAAUACAGCGCGGACAAGCACUAGAUACCUAGCGGGACGCCUCAGGGGUGUCAAUGUCGCAUCGCGCGGGCGGGAACGACAAGGACAGGACACCAGCGCACAAUCUGUUUCGACCACCUUUGAUGAAAGACUCCCUUUAAUGACUGUUGGUGUGCCUCGUGAACAACCCUAUUUCUCCGUGAUUCGAUCGGUUGUCUUGCUGUCCAUGGCGCCGUUCGUGCGAGCUCUAGUGUGUGCGUUUGGGAGCAUCAUCUCCGAGCAGGAGCUCCCUGGAACUGUGUCCAAAAGCCGCUGCUGCACGAUGCACAGUACACAGGCUAUGCCAGCGCGCAUAUUGAGGGAUUUCUCGUGCCUGCUUCUCAGCUGGUUCGCAUUGCGGCCCUGAACCGAUGAUGGUACCACGGAAAACGCAUCUUGGAAGGACGCCCAAAUCAAUUACAGUGGAGUGCGGCAAAAGGUUUCCGCAACAUGCCAGAGACACCAGAUCCAGCGCAAAAGCUUCUCUGUAUCUGCGUAGAAAGUGAUUCGCCAUGUGGAAAACUUCCAGGUCUAUGCGAAGUGUUCAAGACAGUCUCUAAUGAAGCUGAGCAGGCCGAGUGUCGUCCCCGAGGUCGCCACUCGUCGAAUCCGCACCGAACCAGAGAAACUUCGUCGGCAGCAGUACCCUGAUUCUCGAAGCGUCGGCGCGCGAACGGCCACAGUUACGCAGCAUGGCCGAGCUCCGGGGUACGUGUGCUCCGUGCACCAGAGCCAUGAGCCGCUACAAUGUCCGAGAAGCCCUCACUCGUCACGUCAGCAAAUGAAUGAUGAAAACGACCUGAAACCGUGUCAAGUACGUCAAAACGUCCAGCCGAAAAGCUGGUGCGCAUCUCGUGCACGCGACUGGUGUCUGCUGUUACAAGCCCGCGUAACGCGCCAUGCCGAAUUCAACUAGGGUUGCUUUAUUUCCUCGAUGAAGACGGAUCCCUCGUACAUGCCAUCGGAGUCAUACUGCCUGACGAUUCUUCUUCGAAGACCAGGUCGAACAAGCCACGCGAAUUCUACGAGAAACGCUUGACCGAGCGGCACGGCAUGCGGUGCUAAUACUGUGCAAUCUCUCCCGAGAAAACGCAUCUGAUACUGCAGAUUCGGAUGAAUAGGAUCGAAAACGAUUUUGUUCUGGCUCUCAUCGAGGCGCCCCCGAGAGACGCGUUCGAAACCGGGUGCAGCGACUCGCGUAACAACCGCUGGAACACCAGCA